rnacentral:rRNA from 1 species
GGAAUCUUGCGCAAUGGGCGAAAGCCUGACGCAGCAACGCCGCGUGCGGGAAGAAGGCUUUCGGGCUGUAAACCGCUUUCAGCAGGAGCGAAAAUGACGGUACCUGCAGAAGAAGGAGCGGCCAACUAUGUGCCAGCAGCCGCGGUGAUACAUAGGCUUCAAGCGUUGUCCGGAUUUAUUGGGCGUAAAGAGCUCGUAGGCGGUUGAGUAAGUCGGGUGUGAAAACUUUGGGCUCAACCCAGAGACGCCACCCGAUACUGCUUAACUUGAGUUCGAUAGGGGAGUGGGGAAUUCCUAGUGUAGCGGUGAAAUGCGCAGAUAUUAGGAGGAACACCGGUGGCGAAGGCGCCACUCUGGAUCGACACUGACGCUGAGGAACGAAAGCAUGGGUAGCAAACAGGAUUAGAUACCCUGGUAGUCCAUGCGGUAAACGGUGGGCACUAGGUGUGGGUUUCUAUUAACGAAAUCCGCGCCGUCGCUAACGCAUUAAGUGCCCCGCCUGGGGAGUACGGUCGCAAGACUAAAACUCAAAGGAAUUGACGG